rnacentral:tRNA from 1 species
GCAGGUAUAGCUCAGUGGGAGAGUGUGUGUCUAGCACGCACAAGGUCCUCGGUUCAAUCCCCAGUACCUCCA